UACAACGAAACUGCGAAUGGCUCGGUAAAACAGCAAUAAUUUAAUCGGGGAUAUACUACCGGAUAACCGUAGUAAAGCUAGAGCUAAUACGUUGAUAGUACAAAGACGCAACUGCUUGCAGUUGUGGUGCUAAGUAUUAGGUACAACCCAAUUUUUUUUAAUUGGUGAUUCAUACUUAUCGUCUGAUCACAUUUCUUUAUGUGUGUGACGCCCCGAUUAAAUUUCUGACCUAUCAACUAUGAUGGUAAGGUAGGGUCUUACCAUGGUUGUGACGGGUAACGGACCGUGGGUGCGGGAUUCCGGAGAGGGAGCCUGAGAAACGGCUACCACAUCCAAGGAAGGCAGCAGGCGCGCAACUUACCCAAUCCGAAUUUCGGGAGGUAGUGACAAUAAAUAUCAAUAGGGGGACCAAUGGUCUUCCUAAUUGGAAUGAAAGCAAUGUAAACACCUCAUUGAGGAACCAGCAGAGGGCAAGUCUGGUGCCAGCAGCCGCGGUAAUUCCAGCUCUGUAAGCGUAUACCAAAGUUGUUGCAGUUAAAACGCUCGUAGUCGAAUUUUGACGUUUAUGCUUCAUAGACCCCCUGAUGGGUGUUUAGAUGAAUGCGACGUCUUUGUGGAUUUUUGAGAUGUUGGUGAUGCUUAAUUGUAUUCCUUCAUUUUGGCCACUGUUUACUGUGAAAAAAUUAGAGUGCUUAAAGCGAGCGAUUUGCCAUGAAUAGAUUAGCAUGGAAUAAUAGAAUAGGACCUGGUUCUGUUUCUAUUGGUUUGUCAGUUUCAGGUAAUGAUUAAGAGGGACGGUCGGGGGCAUUUGUAUUCCAGGGUUAGAGGUGAAAUUCUUAGAUCCUUGGAAGACACACAGCUGCGAAAGCGUCUGCCAAGGACGUUUUCAUUGAUCAAGAACGAAAGUAGGGGGAUCGAAGACGAUCAGAUACCGUCGUAGUCUCUACUAUAAACUAUGAGGACUAGAAAUUGGACGUGGCCUAUUUUUGGUACGUUCAGCGCCUUGAGGGAAACCAAAGUGUUUGCUUUCUGGGGGGAGUAUGGUCGCAAGUCUGAAACUUAAAGGAAUUGACGGAAGGGCAUCACCGGGUGUGGAGCCUGCGGCUUAAUUUGACUCAACACGGGAAAACUUACCAGGUCCAGACAUAGUGAGGAUUGACAGAUUGAGAGCUCUUUCUUGAUUCUAUGGUUGGUG
rnacentral:rRNA from 1 species